AUUGAACGCUGGCGGUAUGCUUAACACAUGCAAGUCGAACGAUGAGAAAGAGCUUGCUCUUUCGAUUAGUGGCGGACGGGUGAGUAACGCGUAGGAAUCUACCUAUUAGUGGGGGACAACUUAGGGAAACUUAAGCUAAUACCGCAUACGCCAUACGGGGGAAAGAAGGGGAUUGCAAGACCUUUUGCUAAUAGAUGAGCCUGCGUAGGAUUAGCUAGUUGGGGGGGUAAAAGACCACCAAGGCGACGAUCCUUAACUGGUUUGAGAGAAUGAUCAGUCACACCGGAACCGAGACACGGUCCAGACUCCUACGGGAGGCAGCAGUGGGGAAUAUUGGACAAUGGGCGAAAGCCUGAUCCAGCAAUACCGCGUGUGUGAAGAAGGCCUUAGGGUUGUAAAGCACUUUCAAUUGGAAGGAAAACCUCGAAGCUAAUACCUUCGAGUUUGACAUUACCUUUAGAAGAAGCACCGGCUAACUCCGUGCCAGCAGCCGCGGUAA
rnacentral:rRNA from 1 species